GUAGUCCUGUAAGCGCGCGGAGCCCGUCGGGCGCCUAUGGAACUCGACCCGCAGGCCAAAGGGGCUCCGUUGCAAGGAAGAAGUGCGGGGUCCCGCCGCCUCCUAGACCGAGAUCGCGGUGAGCUGGCCGCGGCGCACAAUGGGCACGGCCUGGGCGGCGGCGUCCGUACUAUCGCCCUGUGCCUGCGGAUCCCGGUAACAUUGCGCGGCAGGCCCCAGGCCGGCCUCCCUCAGCUUCGCGGACUGUCUGGGCCGGGGGUCUCAACCUUGACUUCAGGGCCGGGCCGCUGGGGCAGACCCUUAGUGAUGUUCAGGUCCUCUGGGCCCCUGCCAGUCAAGGGACGCUCGUCGCGCGCCAAUUGUUAAGUCUUUCAUUGUUUCUGUAAACCUGCUGACGCCCUCCCAGCGCAUAGGGAGACUGCGCACGUGAGUCCGCCCCCGCGCGCACUGCGGAGAGGUAGAGGCACGAAUGUAGUACAAGGAGCCAGCUGGUCCACCAGAAGUCUGUGUUCUGCCUGUCCCUGCAGCACGGAGGGCUGGGCUUUAUACCUGUGCCAAGGACACCAACGGCAGCAUCAGCAAGUCCGUGUUGUCUCCCAAAUAAGUGGUGUUCUCCAACAAGCUUUUAGCAGUAAUAAAGCUGACAUUUUUAUUCUCAUA
ensembl:lncRNA HDHD5-AS1 HDHD5 antisense RNA 1